UAACACAUUCAACAGUAGGAUCAUUUCUAUAGGAAUCGUCACUCUUUGACUCUUCAAAAGAGCCACUGAAUCCAACUUGGUUGAUGAGCCCCAUAACCUUUGUACCCCAGAGUGAGGAAAUGAAAUCGAAUUUAAAUUAGCUUGGUCCGCAAUCCUUAGCGGUUCGGCCAUCUAUAAUUUUGAAUAAAAUUUUGCUUUGCCGUUGCAAUUGUGAUAACUUCCYUUUGGAAUUUGUUGCGAUAUUUAAUGGCGCGAUGAUCUUGACCCAUCCUAUGUGCUUCCAUUUUGGAAGGAUAGGGAUUCAUGGGUGGGUACAAAUGGCAGUCUGACAAGU
rnacentral:snoRNA from 1 species